UUUGCCUCUAUGCUUGAGUACACAGUUUCCCAUUGACUGAACUCCAUUUUUUUCCCCCUCUUUUCUUUUCUUUUCUUUCUUGUUCUAUGGAAUUGCACUGGCAAAACUUCUGCAGGCGAAGGUAUGAAUUAUCUUCUCAUUGUCUGGUUUUUAGUUCAUGAUGCUUGUUGAAUUGUAUUUGGUGGAACUUCGACAUAAAAUGGCAUAAAAUAGGCAAAAUAAACUCAUACAUUCCCAUUUUUUUGAAGCUGAUUUAACCCUACUGAGUGAUUGAUCAUUCAAUAUACAAGCAUGCAAAUAUCAAUUCAAUUUAUUGAUGUUCACACCUUGAGGAUAAUAUUUAAAUGAUGUUCUCUUUGAUUUGCAGAGGCUAUUGGCAAAAUAUG
rnacentral:misc_RNA from 1 species